GCCAUGCAGCGUAUCAUAAGAUUGCCUUCGGGAUGUAAAGGACUUUUGUCAGGGAAGAAAAGGCUGUUGGUAAUGUCGGCGGCUGAUGACGGGCCGUGAAGAAUAAGCACCGGCUAACUACGUGCCAGCAGCCGCGGUAAUACGUAAGGUGCGAGCGUUAAUCGGAAGUACUGGGCGUAAAGCGGGCGCAGACGUUUACUUAAGCAGGAUGUGAAAUGCCCGGGCUCAACCCGGGAACUGCGUUCUGAAC
rnacentral:rRNA from 1 species